UGCUCUAUAGAUGUCUGUGAUAGCCUUCGAAGCUAGAUCAGAAUUCAAGUAUUGAAUGCUCUACUGAACAAGUUCAACACUCAGCUGAGGUGUUAGAAGGUUAUGAAGUUGGUUGACAUCAGUUUCAACUCUCUCAAUCAGAAUACUGUUACACCUUACUCAAGCGUUGCGAGUGUGAUCCGGGAUAGACUGGCUUUGUUCGAGUAGAAAUCUUCCGAAUCAUCUGUUGAUCAAGUUAACUGCUUGAUCAAAAAAACAUACACAAUAAAUAGCUAUGAUCAUUUACUAUUCAUUGGCCUUCGGCCCUACCUCUCUCUCUCUUUUGUCCUUUCUUACUAUAUAAUUUAUAUAGUAUUCAUAUUCACUCCUUUAAUACCAGACCAUAGUUGUAGGGAAGGUAGACAGACCCUGGACUGGAUUUUGUAGGCAAUAUCAAUAGUGCUCCUAGAAGUCAAAGACAAAAUGCAAACAGAGAACUUGAAGACAUACAAAGCAGGCAAA
rnacentral:sRNA from 1 species